rnacentral:rRNA from 1 species
UACAGAGGGUGCGAGCGUUGUUCGGAAUUAUUGGGCGUAAAGCGCUUGUAGGCGGCACGUCAAGUCGCGUGUGAAAUCCCCAGGCUUAACCUGGGAAGUGCGCGCGAAACUGACGAGCUUGAGUGCCGGAGAGGGUCGCGGAAUUCCCGGUGUAGAGGUGAAAUUCGCAGAUAUCGGGAGGAACACCAGUGGCGAAGGCGGCGACCUGGACGGACACUGACGCUGAGACGCGAAAGCGUGGGGAGCAAACAGG